rnacentral:lncRNA from 1 species
CUCAAAGUAGAGAUGAAAGAUUCAAAUUGUAGUCCAUUUACUAGAAAGAAGCUCGUGCUAUUUAGGACUCUAAAAUGUUUCUUUCAAAUGCAAGAAAAGUCUUCUGCUAAGUACUUGUAUAUAGUAUAGCCAUAAAUUCUUGUUUAUCUGCUGUGCUGCAGUUUGUGUGUCUGCAUUUCUUGUCAUGUUGUGAUUACUGAGGGGUUUUUUUUCUUCUUUAUUUUUGAGAGCUCUACAGUGCUUGCAUUUAUCGAGAGAAGACACACAGCCCAGCCUUGCAUAAAUAAUGGCACUGGGCCAAGUACAGCGGAGGUGGCUGCCAGCACAACUCCAUUGAAGUCAAAGGAAUCGCACCAUGGAACCUUACACAUAAUAACUGCCCUGCUGUCCAGAAAAAUAAGGGUGUUAUUCUGAAGAGCUCACAGCCUAAUCAGAUGCUAUAGCAGCAAGUGGAAACGAUGAAGGAAAAUGCUGGAGCGAGCUGACAAAGGAGCAAGUGGUCUACAGAUUAAGCAUAUCCUCUUAUGGAGAGCCCAGGGUAUACGUGUCACGUACCACAUAGGAGUUCAAAUGCGAAGUGGUAAAUUCAGCUUGCUACAUGUCAGAAAUGGCUCUACUCCAUCAUGGUGAGUAGGAAGGGUACAAAGGAGAAGAAGGGGAAAUAUAUUGUAGCUUUGUUCCAGUUAUCAUCUGAUC